GGAGAGGUGACCGAGUGGCUUAAGGUGCACGCCUGGAACGCGUGUGUACGCGAGUACCGUGAGUUCGAAUCUCACCCUCUCCGCCA
rnacentral:tRNA from 1 species